rnacentral:rRNA from 1 species
GAUCAUGGCUCAGGACGAACGCUGGCGGCGCGCCUAACACAUGCAAGUCGAACGAGCGAGAGAGAGCUUGCUUUCUCGAGCGAGUGGCGAACGGGUGAGUAACGCGUGAGGAACCUGCCUCAAAGAGGGGGACAACAGUUGGAAACGACUGCUAAUACCGCAUAAGCCCACGGUGCCGCAUGGUACAGAGGGAAAAGGAGCAAUCCGCUUUGAGAUGGCCUCGCGUCCGAUUAGG